rnacentral:rRNA from 1 species
UAACGCGUGGGUAACCUGCCUCAUACAGGGGGAUAACAGUUAGAAAUGACUGCUGAUACCGCAUAAGACCACGGUACCGCAUGGUACAGUGGUAAAAACUCCGGUGGUAUGAGAUGGACCCGCGUCUGAUUAGGUAGUUGGUGGGGUAACGGCCUACCAAGCCGACGAUCAGUAGCCGACCUGAGAGGGCGACCGGCCACAUUGGGACUGAGUCACGGCCCAGACUCCUACGGGAGGCAGCAGUGGGGAAUAUUGCACAAUGGAGGAAACUCUGAUGCAGCGACGCCGCGUGAAGGAUGAAGUAUUUCGGUAUGUAAACUUCUAUCAGCAGGGAAGAAAAUGACGGUACCUGACUAAGAAGCCCCGGCUAACUACGUGCCAGCAGCCGCGGUAAUACGUAGGGGGCAAGCGUUAUCCGGAUUUACUGGGUGUAAAGGGAGCGUAGACGGCACGGCAAGCCAGAUGUGAAAGCCCGGGGCUCAACCCCGGGACUGCAUUUGGAACUGCUGAGCUAGAGUGUCGGAGAGGCAAGUGGAAUUCCUAGUGUAGCGGUGAAAUGCGUAGAUAUUAGGAGGAACACCAGUGGCGAAGGCGGCUUGCUGGACGAUGACUGACGUUGAGGCUCGAAAGCGUGGGGAGCAAACAGGAUUAGAUACCCUGGUAGUCCACGCCGUAAACGAUGACUGCUAGGUGU